rnacentral:rRNA from 1 species
AUUGAACGCUGGCGGCAUGCCUUACACAUGCAAGUCGAACGGCAGCACGGGAGCAAUCCUGGUGGCGAGUGGCGAACGGGUGAGUAAUAUAUCGGAACGUGCCCAGUCGUGGGGGAUAACGUAGCGAAAGCCACGCUAAUACCGCAUACGAUCUAUGGAUGAAAGCGGGGGAUCGCAAGACCUCGCGCGAUUGGAGCGGCCGAUAUCAGAUUAGGUAGUUGGUGAGGGAAAGGCUCACCAAGCCGACGAUCUGUAGCUGGUCUGAGAGGACGACCGGCCACACUGGGACUGAGACACGGCCCAGGCUCAUACGGGAGGCAGCAGUGGGGAAUUUUGGACAAUGGGCGCAAGCCUGAUCCAGCAAUGCCGCGUGCAGGAUGAAGGCCUUCGGGUUGUAAACUGCUUUUGUACGGAACGAAACGGCAAGCUCUAAUACAGUUUGCUAAUGACGGUACCGUAAGAAUAAGCACCGGCUAACUACGUGCCAGCCGCCGCCGUAA